rnacentral:rRNA from 1 species
GGCGAACGCCGGCGGCAUGCCUAAUACAUGCAAGUCGAGCGAACAGAUGAAGUGCUUGCACUUCUGACGUUAGCGGCGAACGGGUGAGUAACACGUAAGGAAUCUACCUAUAAGCGGGGGAUAACAUUCGGAAACGGGUGCUAAUACCGCAUAAUAUCUUCUUCCGCAUGGAAGAAGAUUGAAAGACGGCUCUGCUGUCACUUAUAGAUGACCUUGCGGUGCAUUAGUUAGUUGGUGGGGUAACGGCCUACCAAGACGAUGAUGCAUAGCCGACCUGAGAGGGGGAUCGGCCACAUUGGGACUGAGACACGGCCCAAACUCCUACGGGAGGCAGCAGUAGGGAAUCUUCCGAAAUGGGCGAAAGCCUGACGGAGCAAUGCCGCGUGAGUGAAGAAGGCCUUCGGGUCGUAAAACUCUGUUAUAAGAGAAGAACAAAUUGUAGAGUAACUGCUACAGUCUUGACGGUAUCUUAUCAGAAAGCCACGGCUAACUACGUGCCAGCCGCCGCUGUAA